rnacentral:rRNA from 1 species
GACGAACGCUGGCGGCGUGCUUAACACAUGCCAGUCGAACGGAAAGGCCCUGCUUUUGUGGGGUGCUCGAGUGGCGAACGGGUGAGUAACACGUGAGUAACCUGCCCUUGACUUUGGGAUAACUUCAGGAAACUGGGGCUAAUACCGGAUAGGAGCUCCUGCUGCAUGGUGGGGGUUGGAAAGUUUCGGCGGUUGGGGAUGGACUCGCGGCUUAUCAGCUUGUUGGUGGGGGAGUGGCUUACCAAGGCUUUGACGGGUAGCCGGCCUGAGAGGGUGACCGGCCACAUUGGGACUGCGAUACGGCCCAGACUCCUACGGGGGGCAGCAGUGGGGAAUAUUGCACAAUGGGCGGAAGCCUGAUGCAGCAACGCCGCGUGCGGGAUGCCGGCCUUCGGGUUGUAAACCGCUUUCGCCUGUGACGAAGCGUGAGUGACGGUAAUGGGUAAAGAAGCACCGGCUAACUACGUG